AAGCUCGUAGUUGAAUUUCGAGAUCAGUACGCUGGUCGUGCCUUCGGUAUGCACUGGUGUCACUGGUUUCUCCCUUCUGAAGAACCGUCAUGUCAUUAAGUUGGUGUGGCGGGGAAUCAGGACUGUUACUUUGAAAAAAUUAGAGUGUUUAAAGCAGGCUCGCGCUUGAAUACAUUAGCAUGGAAUAAUGAAAUAGGACGUUUGACCCUAUUUUGUUGGUUUCUAGGAUCGACGUAAUGAUUAAUAGGGAUAGUUGGGGGCAUUAGUAUUCAAUUGUCAGAGGUGAAAUUCUUGGAUUUAUUGAAGACUAACUACUGCGAAAGCAUUUGCCAAGGAUGUUUUCAUUAAUCAAGAACGAAAGUUAGGGGAUCGAAGACGAUCAGAUACCGUCGUAGUCUUAACCAUAAACUAUGCCGACUAGGGAUCGGAUGAUGUUAAUUUUUUAAUGACUCAUUCGGCGCCUUACGGGAAACCAAAGUGUUUGGGUUCCGGGGGGAGUAUGGUCGCAAGGCUGAAACUUAAAGGAAUUGACGGAAGGGCACCACCAGGGGUGGAGCCUGCGGCUUAAUUUGACUCAACACGGGGAAA
rnacentral:rRNA from 1 species